GACGAACCGAGCGAACGUUGUUCGGAAUCACUGGGCUUAAAGGGCGCGUAGGCGGGUGGUUAAGUCCGUGGUGAAAUCCGGCAGCUCAACUGUCGAAUUGCCGCGGGUACUGACUGUCUCGAGGGAGGUAGGGGUGCGCGGAACUAAUGGUGGAGCGGUGAAAUGCGUUGAUAUCAUUAGGAACUCCGGUGGCGAAGGCGGCGCACUGGACCUCUUCUGACGCUGAGGCGCGAAAGCCAGGGGAGCAAACGGG
rnacentral:rRNA from 1 species